rnacentral:misc_RNA from 1 species
CUCUGCUGUUUUCUCUAUAGUUUUUGACCAUGUCCGGUUAGUAGGUCGGUUUUGAAAUUGAUAGCUUUGGUAGGCUAUAAAUAGAAGCUACAGGUCAUUAGCAUGUGAUGUGGUAGCUUUGUAAUGUCGAUGAGUUUCUUCUGCUUGUCUUAGUUGAAUCAACUUCUUGAACAUCAGAAAUUAAACAUCCUUUUGGAUGUUAUAGACGCAAAGAAAAUGUAUAAGCAAACAUAUAUAAUAACCUAAAUGGUUCUUUCAGCUUGUAUUUAU